AUUGAACGCUGGCGGCAUGCCUUACACAUGCAAGUCGAACGGCAGCGGGGACUUCGGUCCGCCGGCGAGUGGCGAACGGGUGAGUAAUGUAUCGGAACGUACCAUUCAGUGGGGGAUAACUAUCCGAAAGGAUAGCUAAUACCGCAUAUUCUGUGAGCAGGAAAGCAGGGGAUCGCAAGACCUUGCGCUGAUUGAGCGGCCGAUAGCAGAUUAGCUAGUUGGUGAGGUAACGGCUCACCAAGGCUACGAUCUGUAGCGGGUCUGAGAGGAUGAUCCGCCACACUGGGACUGAGACACGGCCCAGACUCCUACGGGAGGCAGCAGUGGGGAAUUUUGGACAAUGGGCGCAAGCCUGAUCCAGCCAUGCCGCGUGAGUGAAGAAGGCCUUCGGGUUGUAAAGCUCUUUCGGCCGGGAAGAAAUCGCAUCAGCUAAUACCUGGUGUGGAUGACGGUACCGGAAUAAGAAGCACCGGCUAACUACGUGCCAGCCGCCGCUGUAAAAC
rnacentral:rRNA from 1 species